rnacentral:tRNA from 1 species
UGGCACAGUGGUUAAGAGCUUGGCUGCUAACCAAAAAGUUGGUAGUUCAAAUCUACC